UACGGAGGGGGCUAGCGUUGUCCGGAAUCAUUGGGCGUAAAGCGCGUGUAGGCGGUCCGGUAAGUCCGCUGUGAAAGUCGAGGGCUCAACCCUCGAAUGCCGGUGGAUACUGUCGGGCUUGAGUACGGGAGAGGCGAGUGGAAUUCCUGGUGUAGCGGUGAAAUGCGCAGAUAUCAGGAGGAACACCAAUGGCGAAGGCAGCUCGCUGGGACGGUACUGACGCUGAGGCGCGAAAGCGUGGGGAGCAAACAGG
rnacentral:rRNA from 1 species